UUCUUUCUCCUGCCCCCCUGGGCUAGUCAGGGCACAUCUUAACAGCUAGGUAACAGGGAGGGGCCAAAUCCCUUCCUCCUCCGAUGCUUGGUCUUCCUCUCCUCCUUUUUAGGGGCCAGUUUUACGCCUGGAUACUAGUCUAUGCCAGAGUCAAAGCCACGGGCCUCGGAGGCCUCAGGCCGUGCGCCGUUCCCUGAGGAAAUCUGGGUGCCAGAG
rnacentral:lncRNA from 1 species